GGAUCCGUGGCUCAGUGGUAGAGCGUUCCGUUCACAUCGGAAAGGUCGUUGGUUCGAUCCCAACCGGGUCCA
rnacentral:tRNA from 1 species